GGUUAAGUGACUAAGCGUACACGGUGGAUGCCUUGGCAGUCAGAGGCGAUGAAAGACGUAGUAACUUGCGAUAAGCCCAGAUUAGGUAGUAACAACCAUUUGAGUCUGGGAUUUCUGAAUGGGGAAACCCACGUGCAUAAGCACGUAUCCUUACCUGAAUACAUAGGGUAAGGAGGCGAACCGGGGAACUGAAACAUCUAAGUACCCCGAGGAAAAGAAAUCAACCGAGAUUCCGAAAGUAGCGGCGAGCGAAAUUGGACUAGCCCUUAAGCUUUACACGCGUUAGACGAACGGUCUGGAAAGUCCGACGAUACAGGGUGAUAGUCCCGUAGUUGACGACGUGUGUUCAGUGAAAUCGAGUAGGGCGGGACACGUGAUAUCCUGUCUGAAUAUGGGGGACCAUCCUCCAAGGCUAAAUACUACUGACUGACCGAUAGUGAACCAGUACCGUGAGGGAAAGGCGAAAAGAACCCCUGUGAGGGGAGUGAAAUAGAACCUGAAACCGUGUACGUACAAGCAGUAGGAGCACCUUCGUGGUGUGACUGCGUACCUUUUGUAUAAUGGGUCAGCGACUUAUAUUCAGUGGCAAGGUUAACCAUCUAGGGGAGCCGUAGGGAAACCGAGUCUUAACUGGGCGUUCAGUCUCUGGAUAUAGACCCGAAACCAGGUGAUCUAGCCAUGGGCAGGUUGAAGGUUGAGUAACAUCAACUGGAGGACCGAACCGACUAAUGUUGAAAAAUUAGCGGAUGACUUGUGGCUAGGGGUGAAAGGCCAAUCAAACCUGGAGAUAGCUGGUUCUCCCCGAAAGCUAUUUAGGUAGCGCCUCGGACGAAUACUACUGGGGGUAGAGCACUGUUAAGGCUAGGGGUCAUCCCGACUUACCAACCCUUUGCAAACUCCGAAUACCAGUAAGUACUAUCCGGGAGACACACGGCGGGUGCUAACGUCCGUCGUGGAGAGGGAAACAACCCAGACCGCCAGCUAAGGUCCCAAAUUACUACUAAGUGGGAAACGAUGUGGGAAGGCUCAGACAGCCAGGAUGUUGGCUUAGAAGCAGCCAUCAUUUAAAGAAAGCGUAAUAGCUCACUGGUCGAGUCGGCCUGCGCGGAAGAUGUAACGGGGCUAAGUAGUAAACCGAAGCUGCGGCAAUGUGCUUUUGCACAUUGGGUAGGGGAGCGUUCUGUAAGCGGUUGAAGGUGUGUGGUAACGCAUGCUGGACGUAUCAGAAGUGCGAAUGCUGACAUGAGUAACGAUAAAGGGGUGAAAAACCUCCUCGCCGGAAGACCAAGGGUUCCUGUCCAACGUUAAUCGGGGCAGGGUAAGUCGACCCCUAAGGCGAGGCCGAAAGGCGUAGUCGAUGGGAAACGGGUUAAUAUUCCCGUACUUCUUACAAUUGCGAUGGGGGACGGAGAAGGCUAGGUGGGCCUGGCGACGGUUGUCCAGGUUCAAGUGCGUAGGCUUAAGAGUUAGGUAAAUCCGGCUCUUUUUAAGGCUGAGACACGACGUCGAGCACCUACGGGUGUGAAGUCAUUGAUGCCAUGCUUCCAGGAAAAGCCUCUAAGCUUCAGAUUGUAAGGAAUCGUACCCCAAACCGACACAGGUGGUCGGGUAGAGAAUACCAAGGCGCUUGAGAGAACUCGGGUGAAGGAACUAGGCAAAAUGGUACCGUAACUUCGGGAGAAGGUACGCUCUUGAUGGUGAAGUCCCUCGCGGAUGGAGCUGACGAGAGUCGCAGAUACCAGGUGGCUGCAACUGUUUAUUAAAAACACAGCACUGUGCAAAAUCGUAAGAUGACGUAUACGGUGUGACGCCUGCCCGGUGCCGGAAGGUUAAUUGAUGGGGUUAGACUUCGGUCGAAGCUCUUGAUCGAAGCCCCGGUAAACGGCGGCCGUAACUAUAACGGUCCUAAGGUAGCGAAAUUCCUUGUCGGGUAAGUUCCGACCUGCACGAAUGGCGUAAUGAUGGCCACGCUGUCUCCACCCGAGACUCAGUGAAAUUGAAAUCGCUGUGAAGAUGCAGUGUACCCGCGGCUAGACGGAAAGACCCCGUGAACCUUUACUACAGCUUGGCACUGAACAUUGACCCUACAUGUGUAGGAUAGGUGGGAGGCUUUGAAGCACGUACGCCAGUAUGUGUGGAGCCGUCCUUGAAAUACCACCCUUGUAGUGUUGAUGUUCUAACGUCGACCCCUAAUCGGGGUUGCGGACAGUGCCUGGUGGGUAGUUUGACUGGGGCGGUCUCCUCCCAAAGAGUAACGGAGGAGCACGAAGGUGGGCUAAUCACGGUUGGACAUCGUGAGGUUAGUGCAAUGGCAUAAGCCCGCUUGACUGCGAGAAUGACAAUUCGAGCAGGUGCGAAAGCAGGUCAUAGUGAUCCGGUGGUUCUGAAUGGAAGGGCCAUCGCUCAACGGAUAAAAGGUACUCCGGGGAUAACAGGCUGAUACCGCCCAAGAGUUCAUAUCGACGGCGGUGUUUGGCACCUCGAUGUCGGCUCAUCACAUCCUGGGGCUGAAGUCGGUCCCAAGGGUAUGGCUGUUCGCCAUUUAAAGUGGUACGCGAGCUGGGUUUAGAACGUCGUGAGACAGUUCGGUCCCUAUCUGCCGUGGGCGUUGGAAGAUUGAAGGGGCUGCUCCUAGUACGAGAGGACCGGAGUGGACGAACCUCUGGUGUUCGGGUUGUGUCGCCAGACGCAUUGCCCGGUAGCUAAGUUCGGAAUCGAUAACCGCUGAAAGCAUCUAAGCGGGAAGCGAGCCCUGAGAUGAGUCUUCCCUGAUACUUUAAGUAUCCUAAAGGGUUGUCGGAGACUACGACGUUGAUAGGUCAGGUGUGUAAGUGCUGUGAGGCAUUGAGCUAACUGAUACUAAUUGCCCGUGAGGCUUAACCAU
rnacentral:rRNA from 1 species